rnacentral:rRNA from 1 species
UGUAAAAACUCUGUUGUAAGGGAAGAACACGUACGAGAGUAUCUGCUCGUACCUUGACGGUACCUUAUUAGAAAGCCACGGCUAACUACGUGCCAGCAGCCGCGGUAAUACGUAGGUGGCAAGCGUUGUCCGGAAUUAUUGGGCGUAAAGCGCGCGCAGGCGGUCCUUUAAGUCUGAUGUGAAAGCCCACGGCUCAACCGUGGAGGGUCAUUGGAAACUGGGGGACUUGAGUACAGAAGAGGAAAGCGGAAUUCCACGUGUAGCGGUGAAAUGCGUAGAGAUGUGGAGGAACACCAGUGGCGAAGGCGGCUCUCUGGUCUGUAACUGACGCUGAGGCGCGAAAGCGUGGGGAGCAAACAGGAUUAGAUACCCUGGUAGUCCACGCUGUAAACGAUGAGUGCUAAGUGUUAGGGGGUUUCCGCCCCUUAGUGCUGCAGCUAACGCAUUAAGCACUCCGCCUGGGGAGUACGGCCGCAAGGCUGAAACUCAAAGGAAUUGACGGGGGCCCGCACAAGCGGUGGAGCAUGUGGUUUAAUUCGAAACAACGCGAAGAACCUUACCAGGUCUUGACAUCCCACUGACCGGCUUAGAGAUAAGUCUUUCCCUUCGGGGACGGUGGUGACAGGUGGUGCAUGGUUGUCGUCAGCUCGUGUCGUGAGAUGUUGGGUUAAGUCCCGCAACGAGCGCAACCCUUGAUCUUAGUUGCCAGCAUUUAGUUGGGCACUCUAAGGUGACUGCCGGUGACAAACCAGAGGAAGGUGGGGAUGACGUCAAAUCAUCAGUGCCCCUUAUGACUUGGGCUA